GCGGGUGUAGCUCAGUUGGUUAGAGCGCUUGAUUGUGGAUCAAGAAGUCGGCGGUUCAAAUCCGCUCACUCGCCCCA
rnacentral:tRNA from 1 species